GCACCAGUAGCUCAGUGGAUAGAGCAGCCGCCUUCUAAGCGGUAGGUCGAGGGUUCGAAUCCUUCCUGGUGCACCA
rnacentral:tRNA from 2 species